rnacentral:lncRNA from 1 species
UGAAAAUUAACAAAAUUAUUUUCUGACUACCAGGAUACUUUUUUCCCUGUGAGCUGUUGAUUGCUCCUGUACUGUUGCUCCUGCUGGUCUCCAAGUCAUGGCUGAUUGCUUUCUGUGCAAUUUUGUUGGGCCAUAACCUGCCAUACUGUUGAGGAGGGAGACUCCCACACGUUCACACAUAGUUAAGAAGAGGUGAUUUCUAUGGUGAAGAACUAGGUGUUUUCUUCACAAAUGUGCUGAUGGGGAAAAUGGUAACACCUGAAGAUACAGAAGGCAGAACAAAAAACUCCUACGUGCUUCAGCUGUGGCUUCUACAAAGAUGCUGUGGAGGUCUGUCAGGAGGCUGCUGUGACUGGGGAGUUGAGGUGAGCUACCAAAAGCUGCCCAUGAAGUUUCUAUCUGGAAUGUGGGGAAAGCAGGUCAUGAGCCAGGGCCCUGGAGAAUUCAGGAUUCAGUGA